AUUUCUACAACUGGAAUCGAGUUUUUGUCAAAUAUUGUGAUGGUGCAUCGUUUACUGGUAACAGCAUUGAUCCAGUGAACAAACUUCAUUACAAAGGAGAAAAGAUCUUCAGUGCCAUUGUAAAGGAUCUACUGGGAAAAGGGAUGAGCAAUGCAACAAAGGCUCUCAUCUCUGGAUGUUCAGCUGGUGGAUUAUCAGCAAUACUGAAUUGCGAUAAAUUCCGCUCUCUCCUCCCCGCACACACUACUGUGAAAUGUGCUUCUGACGCUGGCUACUUUCUA